AUUGAACGCUGGCGGCAGGCCUAACACAUGCAAGUCGAACGAGUGGCGGACGGGAGAGUAAUGUCUGGGAAACUGCCCGAUGGAGGGGGGUAACCUCUGGAAACGGUAGCUAAUACCGCAUACCAUCGGAUGUGCCCAGAUGGGAUUAGCUAGUGGGGGGGGUAACGGCUCACCUAGGCGACGAUCCCUAGCUGGUCUGAGAGGAUGACCAGCCACACUGGAACUGAGACACGGUCCAGACUCCUACGGGAGGCAGCAGUGGGGAAUAUUGCACAAUGGGCGCAAGCCUGAUGCAGCCAUGCCGAGUGUAUGAAGAAGGCCUUCGGGUUGUAAAGUACUUUCAGCGAGGAGGCGUUACUCGCAGAAGAAGCACCGGCUAACUCCGUGCCAGCAGCCGCGGUAAUAC
rnacentral:rRNA from 1 species